rnacentral:lncRNA from 8 species
AUGAUGAUCUCCGGGAUGGGUUCUGCAAUGUCGGCAGCCUCUGACUCUGCUGCCUCUGUUACUGCAUCAGCAGCUUCAGGUUCAAGCUCCGCUACGGAUUCUUCUACAGGUAGGGGGAGCUCUUUAGCGGCUGGUUCUAGGACGGAUUCUGUUUCUGCGGCUGCCUCUGGAUCUGCGGCUGCCUCUGACUCUGACACAGCUUCUGCAAUUGAUGUAGGCUCCUCCUCCAGUGUGGGUGAAGCUGCUUCUGCCUCUAUUGGUGCCUCGGGCACAGCCUCAGGUUCUGGGGCCUCCCCUGUAACAGUCUCUGUUUCAGGCUCUGGAGCAGCAUUUUCAGGUUCUGUAGUGUCUGCCACCUCUGUGACUUGUUCUGUAGCCUCAGAAUCCUUUUCUGGUGCUGCGGUUAGUUCCACAGAGGCUGCCGCAGGCUCUUCUGAUGCAGGCUCUUUUGGUGCUGCCUCAGGCUUUUCUGGUGCAGGCUCUUUUGGUGCUGCCGCAGGCUCUUCUGGUGCAUGCUCUUUUGGUGCUGACGCAGGCUCUUCUGGAGCAGGCUCUUCCACUGCAGGCUCUUUUGGUGCUGCCACAGGCUCUUUUGGUGCAGGUUCUUUUGGUGCUGCCGCAGGCUCUUCUGGUACAGGCUCUUCCACUGCAGGCUCUUUUGGUGUAGCCACUGUUUCGUCUAGUGCCGCUGGUUCUUCCGGUGCCUCUGUUUUAUCUGGUGCUGUUACAGGUUCCUCUGGUGAUGCUGCUGAUUCCUCAGCUGCUGCAGGUUCUUCCAGUGCUGACACUGGCUCUUCUGGAGCUGCGGGCUCCUCUGGUGCUGCAGCUGGUUCUUCUGAAGCUACUGGUUUUUCUGCUGUUGGCGCUGAUUCUGCCAUUGCUGCCACAGGUUCAUCUGGUACAGUUGCUGGCUCUGCGGUGGCCCCCUUGGCCACAGCAUCUAUAGCUGACAGGGCCUCUUCUGUCACAUCUUUGAUGGUUACCGCUGCCGACUCCACUGCUCCCUCUACCGCAGCAGACACCUUAGGAGCAUCCUUCGCUGCCAACUCAGCGACCGGAGCUGGUGCUUUGCUCUCCACGGCAUGGGCCAUGGCCUCAACGGCACUCACAGCAGCCACAGUAAUCUCCUCCUUCUUGUCCUUUGGGUCGCUGACAUCGUACCCCUUCUUCCUCUUGCUCAGCUUGCCUCCCAUGGUGUCUCCUAAAAGUGAAUAAUAAAAUCAGAAUGACUUAACAAGUGUGACAGGUUGUUACGUUUGAUCAUCUAUGCAUAGUAUAUAUCCAUUUCCUUUAAUUACCCACCACAAACCUCAAUACCAAGUUAAAGCGGAAUAAAAUUCAAAGCAUUGCAAUCAUGCCAACAUAGUGCCGCCUGUCUCCGUUGUAAGAAAGCACUCAGUCGGGCUUUAAAGGGGGAAGGCAUUUCAAUCUGGAGACCACACUCUGCCAAAUACUAUUGGCUAAAAAACAAAUGACCACUGCAUGGGAACUACUCCAAGUUCUAAACUAUCCAGUGCUCUUGUAUAAACCACAGGACAAGACACCCUCUCUGGAGUCUUAGGUAAUGUUAUUAUGUGCCAAGUGAGCCUCCCAUUCUACUGUUGCCCUUUAAUGGUCUGUUUUAGUUGUACACUUAUUCCCACUGGUAUACUUUUAGAAUAGCAGGUUAGAGGCACAGUUAGAGGAGGAAGGGGGACUUGAGCUCACAAAAUAAAGAAAAAAACACAAAUGUUUUUAGCUAUAGGUUUUGGGAACCUAGUGAGCACUUGUUGUGCAAGGACCUGUUCAACAAACCUGGUGAAAAUUAUUGUAUAAUCUGCUAACCCUCUAUAGCUAUCUAGUGCACUGUACAUAAGUAAGGGAUAAAUCAACGAGGGGCUAUGCGUUCUGUGGAAAAUAAUGAACGACGUGGAAUGCCCUUUAGCCAAUCAGAAACGAGUAUUGAAACAAUGCCAUGGUAUUAUAAAAACGACAGGUUGGUGAGACAUUUUUUGGGGCUAUGGUCUGGAUUUUCUCUAUCGUUUAGUGCAAGGGUUAAAUAAGAUUCAGGCCAGGGUAAGAAUGGAUAAGAUAACAUGUUAUUUUACAGACCACAAACUCCUGUUCUGCACACUCCUGUUACUUUGCAACCACUAAAGCAUGGGAAUGAAUUAAGGGAUAAUCAACAAGGGGCUAUGCGUUUGGAGUGGAACUGACAUUCCACAGAGAUGCAUUAUUUUCCAGAGAAUGCAUAGAGCCCAGAGUUGAUUAUCCCUGUUAUACCAUCCCUUUUAUACUUUUUCCUUGUAGAAAUGGGUUCAACAUCCACUGAGGUAGCUAGCUAGCAAGUUUACUAGAUAGCUACAGUAGUUACCAUGGUAACCAAACAAACAGACGCCCUAGUUUAGCUAACCAAGCCAUCAGGCCUAGCUUGCUAUUAUGAAAAUCGAAUUCAACAAUACCAAUACUGUUUUCAAUUUGACUUUUGCUUUCAAAAGCAGCUCAAACAAAACGUGUAAAAAUGAACUAUAGCCAUUGAUUUCUAUUAUGCAAAAAAUACCUGUGUGUUAUUUAAGCAAUAAUGCCCAAGGGGGUGUGGUAUAUGUCCAAUAUAAUAUGCUAAGGGCUGUUCUAAAGCACGAUGCAACUCGGAGUGCCUGCAUACAGCCCUUAGCCAUGGUAUAUUGGCCAUAUACCACAAACCCGAGGCGCCUUAUUGCUAUUAUAAACUCCUCGCCAAUGUAAUUAGAGCAGUAAAAAUACAUGUUUUUUCAUACCCGUGGUAUACUUAAGCAAUAAGGCAUGAGGGUGUGUGGUAUAUGACCAAUAUACCAUGGCUAAGGGCUGUUCUUAGGCAGGAUGCAUCACGGAGUGCCUGGACGCAGCCCUUAGCCGUGGUAUAUUGGCCAUAUACCACCAACCCCUGAGGUGCCUUAUUACUAUUAUAAACUGGCUAUUAAGGUAAUUAGAGCAGUAAAACUAAAUGUUUUGUCAUACCCGUGGUAUACUGUCUGAUAUACCACUGCUGUCAGCCAAUCAGGAUUCAGGGUGGGAACCAAACAGUUUAUAAUGUCUGAUAUUCCACGGCUGUCAGCCAGUCAGCAUUCAGGGCUCAAACCACCCAGUUUAUAAAAGGAAAUAAUGCAUGCUCUAGAAUGCCCUUCAAGCCAAUCAGAAAGGACUAUUCAACAAUGCCAUGGUAUAAUACUGAGUAGUAGUAUUCCCGAGUAGUAGUACUAUACAUCAUCCACUGAUGACAACAAAAACAUAUAGCUAAACUACUUUAGCUAUACAUAUAGCUAAACUAAAUAUGUGUGUAGGGUUAAGGUUAUCACAUUGGUCUCACUCACAAAAUUGUGUUUAUUUUACUCCAUUGCCAUACUUGUAAGAGGAAGAACUGAUUUCAACAUACUUCAACUUCCCUUCCCACUAUCAGAAAACCGAGAACUGGAAGUUAAAUGUUAUCUGAGAGAUUAUGUUUGGUGAUAAUAGUACUAAAUUAUUCCUUUAGAUAACAGUAGGCUGCCUGUCACAGAAAACAAUAUUUACCAUGGGUAUGGAUAUACUAAAAGGCAUUACAGGUUACAGGUUUCUUCUGCCUGACAUACAGUUUUAAGUGAAGCCAAAAGGUCGAAAAUGCUCAACAUGCAGGCGGUUUUCAAAAAAUGAAGCAAAACUAAUCACGAACGUAACAAUAGACUAUGACAUUUUCCGCAAGUACUUGCGGAUUGACCAUUAUCCAAAAUGUCACAAACAUAGUUGAAUCUAAUCUGUCUUUCUUGUUAGAUGGGUGAGAGAGCGACUGCCAUAUAGCAUAUGUAUUUGAACUGCAGAACACACGGGCGUGAUCAUAAUAGGAGCUGUCCAUAGUGCUGCAUUAGGGCAAUCAAGAAGGGAUGCGGACAGAGGGAGCCAUGCGGGAGGCCAGCGCAGGCUAUGGGCUGUACAGCUAAAUCCAUGCUGAUAUCAGAGCAGCGACGGGUCCCCUCUACUAGGCUAUCGGAUAAACAGGCUUUCAUAUUCCUCCCAAUUACUGUCCAUAUUUGAGGAUCGCUAUAGCAUGCGAAUUAAGUUAAUUGCGCGAGUUAUUUAUAUGUGUUUGACUCAAUUAAUUUACUCAGUUUACAUUACAUUUGCCUAUACCAACACAUUAAAAGAAAACAGUCAGACAUUUCGAAAAGAGAUUUCAAGAUACAUCUGCCAAAAGCACAUGACAAUGUUCAUACACUGGGGAAGUACAUGGAGCCUAUAGGCGACGACGGGAUGAAAUAGUACUGGUUUAGGGGUGUGAGGGAUAAAAUAAUUACAGCAGUAUGAUCACACACAGAUUACUGUAAACACUACCGGUUAGCCAUGUAUUAUUUUCUAUUAAAACUCCAAUCGGGCUGAAGACACGUUAAAUUACGAUAAAGGAAAAUGCUCAGGGAAUUGUACAACUCCUGUUGCACCAGCAAGGCUCUCAGAGACAGGCAUCCUAGAUGCCUGCUACAGAAUGAAGUUAACUGUGAAAUCCACCUGAUUGUAAAAAAGUAUCACUUUUAUAGUUUGGAUGGAUGGCAGUCUUUGAUGUUUGUCAUUAUACAACAAAUAUAAGUAAUGAUUUAAAACGAUAUAUUAUCGACAGGGAAGGCACAAGCGCAAUGACUCCAUCCCCCCCAACCACAUAACCCCGCGACUCUACUCUAUCUACCCUGUUCGUUAAUGUUGCCAUACUGUCUAGUGGGGCCCCACAGGCGUGUAGAGUUACGAUGGAAAAUAUGUUUGUCUUUUUUCUAUUAAGCUUGAAUCUUGAUUUGUCAUCUUACUCUACACUUGAUAUUUUUUCAAUGUAUUACAUACAUUGAUUUGGGCACGCACAGCCCUGUCACCCUGAUGCUUCUGGAUCAAAAAAAAUUCUACACCUCAUAGCGCAGACAAAUUGUUAAAAUCCCAGGAAAGACUGGAACAUCCACAUAAUAAAACGCAAAUCGUGGCUCGAAGAUGUUGAAUGUGAAAAUCUACGCACGCACCGGUAGGAAUGCAAAUACAUGAACAAAAGAGAACAAAGGAUAGCUUAUCCAACUCUUUCUCCCUUCUCUAUUCUUUAUUCUCCAAUUUACCACAACAGCAGGCUAUAUGUUAUCUUAUAUUCUCCAGAAUAAAAAAAAGAACAUACAAAAGCUGAAAAAUAUAGAUACAAAGUUCACUAACCUGGAUUUCUGCCUUAAACCCAAACGAUAAGGAGAGUCGAGGAACUGAUGUAUUCCCUUGCAAGACUGAGCACGGACUGAUAAUAGAAAGAAUCUUGCGACUGAAAGCUGCACCGAAGUCCUCCUCGCUCCCUGAGGUGCAAUCUAGGACUGUGAUUUUUUGAAGAGUGCCCCUAUAGGUUUUGCCAGACAUCAUUCGCUAUCACAAUCUAUCCCACAAUCUCGGAGAAAGUGGGGUAAAUUUAGCAAUUUUUAACAUUCAGCAUCACUCUGUCAAGGGAAAUAUAGUAUUAUUUCUAACAAAGAUAUCUAGGCUACAUAUAUUUCAGGAUGUUGUGUAUCCCUGGAAAUAUUCAGAAUUCAUGUAAAACGUUACAUUUUUGAAAACAUACUGUAGGUUGUUUUCUCUUAGCACAAUUUACCCCUGAUAUUGGGUAAAUUGAGCCGCAGGACAGGGUAAGUUAAGCCACCUACACAUUUCUGUACUGAAUGAAAUAUGACCUAUGUCUAUCUCAGAGGAGGCUGGUGGGAGGAGCUAUAGGAGGACAGAAUAAUUGUAAUGGCUGGAAUGGAACCAAUGGAACAGAGUCAAACGUGGUUUCCAUAUGUUUAAUGUGUUUGAUACCCUUCCAUUUAUACCAUUCCAGCUUUCACAAUGACCCCGUCCUCCUAUAGCUCCCCCCACCAGCCUCCACUGGUCUAUCUUUAUUUCCCAAACACAAUUCAACACAAUCACAAUCCCUUUUUUGUUUUUUAAUACAUUUUAAGCAUCUUUUAAUAACACAGGCUUAAUACCUAACAAACAAUGUACUUAAA